UACGUAUGGUGCAAGCGUUAUCCGGAUUUACUGGGUGUAAAGGGAGCGCAGGCGGUGCGGCAAGUCUGAUGUGAAAGCCCGGGGCUCAACCCCGGUACUGCAUUGGAAACUGUCGUACUAGAGUGUCGGAGGGGUAAGUGGAAUUCCUAGUGUAGCGGUGAAAUGUGUAGAUAUUAGGAGGAACACCAGUGGCGAAGGCGGCUUACUGGACGAUAACUGACGCUGAGGCUCGAAAGCGUGGGGAGCAAACAGG
rnacentral:rRNA from 1 species